rnacentral:rRNA from 1 species
CACCGCGGUUAUACGAGAGGCCCUAGUUGAUAGGCACGGCGUAAAGGGUGGUUAAGGAGAGUACUAAUAAAGUCAAAGGGCCUCCUGGCCGUCAUACGCUCCCGAGCGUCCGAAGUCCAAAACGAAAGUAACUUUAAUACAGCCCACCUGACCCCACGAAAACUGAGAAA